AUUGAACGCUGGCGGCAUGCUUUACACAUGCAAGUCGAACGGCAGCGCGGGCUUCGGCCUUGCGGCGAUUGGCGAACGGGUGAGUAAUGCAUCGGAACGUGCCCAGGAGUGGGGGAUAGCCCGGCGAAAUCCGGAUUAAUACCGCAUACGACCUGAGGGGGAAAGCGGGGGACCGAAAGGCCUCGCGCUAUUGGAGCGGCCGAUGUCGGAUUAGCUAGUUGGUGGGGUAAAGGCUUACCAAGGCGACGAUCCGUAGCUGGUCUGAGAGGACGACCAGCCACACUGGGACUGAGACACGGCCCAGACUCCUACGGGAGGCAGCAGUGGGGAAUUUUGGACAAUGGGGGCAACCCUGAUCCAGCCAUGCCGCGUGCGGGAAGAAGGCCUUCGGGUUGUAAACCGCUUUUGUUCGGGAAGAAAUCCUCUGGGCUAAUACCCCGGGGGGAUGACGGUACCGGAAGAAUAAGCACCGGCUAACUCCGUG
rnacentral:rRNA from 1 species